AAGAAAAGUGGGACCCACACGUUUUCUUCUUCUCUCAUAUGAGCAGAUUAGAGAACUUGUUAUUGUGCAUCUCCUUUUCCAAUCUUGCCCUCGGCCUCUAACCCUUCUCUGCUCUCUCUCUUCCAUCGCUCACUCUGACUUCGCCUGCGAUACCCACCACCACCAUGCCCACAACCUUCCAUCUGCCGUCACCAACCACACCUUCCGCCACCGUUACCCCUUCCUCUGUUUCACCCGCAUUGGAACCCUUCGCUCCACCUCUUCUCUCUUUCGCAUUUUUCUGGUUUUUUUUUUUCAGAUUCGAGAGCUCAAUCGCAACAACUCCGUAAGAUUGCGAACGUCGUUCCGAUGGUCAUCGUUGUCGUCGAAUCCAAAGUCCAAUCGACCACCUGCGCUGCCCUUGUGAACGUGUUUGCGUGGACGGUGUGACCAACUUCUUCAACACCGUUCUUCAUUUUUCUGGGUUUUUAGCAAAUGCUUUCUCUUUCAUUUUUUCAGAUCUUCACCAUGAAAAACAUUCUCUCCCUCCUUUGUGCUUGUCGCCACCGACACCGUCCCUGGAUCUGUUGGCCUUGUCAACAUCACUAACCAUUUUUAUUUCAAUUUUAGUUGCUCUGAAAUUGUAUAAUUUGGUUUGGAGGGCUUGAUAUUUGAAAUGAAUGAGUUACUUUCUGUGAGAAUUUUGUUGAUUUUAUAUUCCCUGAGUAUAGAUUUUUGGGGGUUUGAAAUUUAAAUUUGGAAUGAAUUCAGAUUUGUGAUUUGCAUGGUAUGUGAUAUAUUGGUGAACUUCCAAUCGCAGACUUGUUGGUGUUUAUGUUGUCGGUGAAGAAAAGUUGUAAAAGGGAAACAAGGAUGAUGGUGGGGUGAGAGACACAAAGAGGAAAAAUGGAACUAUGGAAGAGAGGGGAAGGAUAAAAUUUUAUUUGCAGAUAAAAAGGACCAUAAUCAAAUUUAUUUGCAAAUAAAAUAAAGGAGAAAAUUUUAUGUGCAGAUAAAUUUUUUAUUCUUGUGCCUAUUCACUGGAAUCAUAUGGAUCACAACCAGUUGACAACAGAAAAUAUGAUCGAAACCAGUUAAGUAACAAAAAAACACAACAGUGAAUGGUUAAAAUGGUUCAUAGUGCUUGGUGGUGAAAGGUUAAAAUGAUCAUUUACUCAAUUCCAAUAUUUCUUUUCCAUUAAUGGUUAAAAUGGUCUAUAGUGCUUGGUGGUGAAAAUAUCCUGUUGUUUUAUAAAGGUUAAAAUAAUCAUUUACUCAAUUCCAAUAUUUCUUUUCUAUUAUUUUAUUAUUUACCAAUUAAUUUUAUUUUAUUUUGAUAUAUUUUCUUCAAUUAAAUCACCUUUAUUUUUUUUUCUUAUUUCUAUUUUUUUUUCUCUUCUCACCUAUUUUCUUCUCUUAUCACCCCUUUCCUCCUCAUAACCACACGACCCCUUAGAGCCAUGGAUAAUACACUAUACCAGAAUAGAAAUUUGACAGCUGAUUGGGGUUUUCACAGAUACUGCUUUCCACAUGAAGGAGAACACGCCGCUGGGGAAUGUCUUAACUAAACUAAUUGAGACCUGUCAAAGAAAAAAGCUUUCGGAGAUUGAAGUGCAUCAGAGAUUACUCAAGUAUAUGGAUUUUAUGACGAAUGCCUUAGAAAGUGAGUUUUCAACACUCAUUCAUUGGUUCUAUGGGGCAAAAGUGAAGAAUUUAUAAUUUCUAUGGAGCAAAAGUGAAAAACAUGAGAUGUUUCUAUCUAGAGAAAGAUCUGUUUGUGUAGGAUGUUUUUGUUGUUUCAAUUGAAGUUCGUUUUGUUAAAUACGGAUGUUCAAUUUUUUUAUUAGUAUUGUCAUGUUGGAGUCACUAAAAUUUCCUUUUAGAUAGAAGCUGACAGAAAUUUAUUUUUCCUUUCCCCUGCAAUAUGCUCUUUUAGAAUUCCAACAUAGUUUCUUGUUACUUUAAUGUACUGAACGGGAGUUCUGGGAUGAGCAUAUGAAUUUUGCUGUU